ensembl:misc_RNA Metazoa_SRP Metazoan signal recognition particle RNA
GCCAGGCAUGGUGGCACGUGCCUGUAGUCCCAGCUAUUCAGGAGGCUGAGGUGGGAGGAGCACUUUAGUCUAGGAGUUCUGGGCUGUAGUGCGCAAUACCGAUGGGGUGUCUGCACUAAGUUCUGCAUCAACCUGGUGACCUCCCAGGAGUGGGGAACCACCAGGUUGCCUAAGCGGGGGUAAACUGGCCCAGGUAGGAAAUGGAGCAGGUCAAUACUCCCUGCCUGUGAAUAGCCACUGCACUCCAGCCUGGGCAACAUAGCAAGACCCUGUCUCUU